UGGCUGUGGAGAACUAAUUAAACCAAACUUGGAAAUAGUACAAUUCUAGGGGAACAUCUCCUUCCCCUGUCCACUCUCAUAUCUUGAAGAGUUGGCUUUACAAAGUCUAAGUCUCUGUCUCUGAAGUUCUGGGACCCAUCGUUUAGAAGUGGUUCCCACUUCCUUCCGGGGAAGACCUUUGGAGAAUCCUUCUCUCCUUGCCUAUCAAGUGCUGUGGAUGCCACCAUCCACACUGCCAUGGGACUCACAGAGGCAGGGAAGCUAAACAGAAGCUUCUAGGUGAAGUUUGCAUGGAGUUUGGUUUGCAGUAGAGAGUGAACUGUGUGCGAGUCCAGGGUGGAGUAGCGAUGGCCCUGGGAGUGUGUACUGCGUCCUCCACCAUCGACCCUACCCCAGCAUCUCCCUAGUUCUCUCCUCUGGGCCAGCUCCUGCUGAAGUAACAAGCUUCUCUCAGCCACUGUCAAAUGAAUCAAAGAAUAGCUUUUAGAGGAAUUAUAAAAUGUCAUAAAUGAAGAUUAGAGGGUUUUUUGUGGUAGAGGUCAGGGGGUGGAGUUGAAUAGAGUCUUUAUUAACAUGAAUUUCAUCUGCUUCUUUAAAGUUCUAGGGUAUAUGUGUAGGAUGUACAGGUUUGUUGCAUAGGUUAACAUGUGCCAUGGUGGUUUGCGAUGGUUAGAGUUUUAGAGUUUGGGUUUCUCCCUUAUUGUUGGGAUUAUUUAAUUGCUUAUUAAACAUCCAUCAGGUGUUGGCAGCAUAUGGAAGAUGUAGGGAGAUUUCCUGGGCAAUGUAUUUAUACUCUUAUCAGAAAUUACAGAACAGCCAGGCACAGUGGCUGAGGCCUGUAACCCCGGAACUUUGGGAGGCUGAGGCGGGCAGAUCACCUGAGGUUAGGAGUUCAAGACCAGCCUGGUCAACAUGGUGAAACCCCUCCUCUACUAAAACUACAAAAAUUAGCUGGGCAUGGUGGUAUGUGCCUGUAAUCCCAGCUUCUAGGGAGGCUGAGGCAGAAUUGUUGAAGCCAGGAGGCCGAGGCAGAGGUUGCAGUGAGCCAAGAUGGCACCAGUGCAUUGCAGCCCGGGUGACAGAGCAAGACUCUGUCUCAAAAAAAAAAAAAAAAAAAAGACAAUGCAGAGGUGUAACACAGAGAUGUAUCAGGUAUGGUUAGACAAACCUUCCCUGUGAGUUUUUAAGAGCAUUUCAUUUCAUUUCUUCUUUGCCCUUGGGUCUGUUCUUCUGAUCUGUCAGCCUUAUGUCAGUAAAAAUGAUAAAAGUAAACAGCAGAGUAUUGCAUUAUAUCAUCUCUGAACAUGUGGAGUAUAACGAAGGCUUUAAAAUAACAGAGAGAGAGUUUGACAAAACAAAUUUUAGAGCAUGUGCAAGUAAAAGUAAUAGUGACUGAGAAAAAUAAAGUGAAAAAAUGGAGAAAAACAUAAAACUUAAGUAUUAUUGACUUUUUGGCAAAAGAUGGGACUUGGGUGCCCAAUACUUCACUUGACAGCUUCAGGCUUUUUGAAGAGGAGGGUAAGUCUAUGAAAACACAACUAGAGGGCCGGGAGCAGUGGCUCAUGCCUAUAAUCCCAGCACUUUGGGAGGCCGAGGCAGGCGGAUCAUCUGAGGUCAGGAGUUCAAGACCAGCCUGGUCAACAUGGUGAAACCCCAUCUCUACUAAAAAUACAAAAAAUUAGCUGGCUGUGGUGGUGGGCCCCUGUAGUCCCAGCUACUUGGGAGGCUGAGGCAGGAAAAUCACUUGAAGCUGGGAGGCGGAGGUUGCAGUGAGCUGAGAUCAUGCCAUUGCACUCCAGCCUGGGCAACAAGAGCAAAACUCUGUCUCAAAAAAAAAAAAAAGAAAAGAAAAGAAAAAUGAAAAAGAAAGAAAAGAAGACACGACUAGAAACACAGAGAAGUCAGCAUCCUUUUUUUUUUUAAAAGGACAGAAGUCACCAUAAUAUGGGAAGCUGCUCAAACAUGGCAAUCAUUGUUCUAUCUUCCGUGAUUAGCUGAGUGCCUCUAUGAUGAACCUGUGUCAGUUAGAAAGAGCAUUGGCUGCAAGUAACAAAGGCCCCAGUUCUAGCAGCUUAAACAAGUUAGUUUAUUUCUCUCUUUUGUAUAAAUAGAAGGUGGGCAGUCCAGAACUGAAAUUUCAACUCUGCUUCACAAAGUCCUCAGAGACUUGGGCUCUUCAACUUCCUGCUCUGCUGUCUUUAGAGUGAAACCUUUGUCAUCCAAUAUGGUGGUUAGAGCUCAAGUUAUCACAUCCAGGUUUCCAGGAGCAUAAUGAAGGAAGGGACGGAGAGGAAGGGGGCAAAGGGUAUGCUUUGGCUUUCUUUUAGGAAGGUUCCUGAACCUGUAUGACACUCCUAUUUCCCACUGGUCAGAAAUUAGUGAUAUGGACACAUCUAGUUGCAAAGAAAACCAAGAAACAUGGCCACAAGCCCAGCUAGAAAUUUGGGUUGUAUUACUAUGAAAGCAGAUAAUAAAAUUGCCAUUGUCAUUUUUACAUCUGAGUUUUCAAUGGAAGAAUAUGUCAAUAAUAUAUACUGUGUAGCCUUCUUAAGUAUCAAAGUAAGACUGCCAUUAUAUGCAAUGUAAAAAGAUGUGACUACUUACAAUUUCAGGUUGGUAAUUAAGUAAUCCAACUUCCUUCAUGAUUCUGAAGAGUCUGAAUGGCUCUUCUCAAGGGUGACCUAAUCGUUAUUGAGUUUCCACUGCAAAUGGAAAUAAGAGACAGGCACAACUGGAUAGAAAUCCUGGCUCUCCCAUUUUCUAGCUGUGUGACUGAGCAGACUAAGCUCUCCAAGCCUCCAAUCCAUCCCCUCAAUGGGCAUGACACCUAUGCCUAAGGCUGUUGUUAGGACUAGACAGCAAUACAGGUGUGAAAUAUUUGACAUGUAAGUAUAGUUAACACAAUUAAUAAGCACUUUCUUCUGUUCCCUUCUUGUUUAAUAUACAUCAUCCUUUCUCAUCUGGAAGCUGCUUUUUUGCUCUCUAUGUCUUUCCAAUAAGUCUUUUCCUUUCUGGUGUGGAUCUUUAGCAACCAAUGCACAUAAAGGGGUAGUAACAACAUACCCAAGAUAUACCACCAACUACAGCAAUUGCCAUGCUGACAUCAAAAAUGGGAAAUUCACUAUAGCCAGGAAAACAUUCUAUGGACUAGUGUUCAACAAGAAACAUACAGAACAUGCACAGCUAUAUCUAAGAUUUUAAGAAAUAGACAUGCAAAUGAGAAGAGGCAUAAGCAUUUAUAUUUUUAUGAGCAACAGAUCAUCAUAGCUGAACCUUAAAUUUCCUGGAAGAGCUGAAGCAAAUAUGGUCUCUAAACUAGUUGCACAUUGCAGAAGACUUGAGGGGGUCUAGAUGGACAGAGGACCAGCCUUCAGGCAUCAGGCGCCCAGCCUGGCCCCCGUGAUUUCUCCCCACGCUUGCCCUUGCUAACAUUCCAUUUUUGUUUCUCAUCAGUCAUGAGGCUCACUAGGAGGAGUGUAUUUAUACUUACUGCAGUUGUUUUCUAGGGCUGCCAUAAAAACGUACCAUAAACUAGGUGGCUUAAAACAGUAAACAUUUAUUCUCUCAUAGUUCUGGAAUCUGGAAGUCUGAAAUCAAGAUAUCAUCAGGGCCACUUCCCUCUGAGAAAUCUUGCGUGGGAUCCUUCCUUGCUGCCUGCCUUCUGGUGAUGGCAGGCAAACCUUGGUGUUCCUUGGCUUGUAGCCGCAUCCCUUUAGUCUCUGCUUUCAUCGUCACAUGACAUUUUCCCUGCCUGUGUGUCUUCUCCCCUUCUUAUAAGAGACCAGUCAUACUGGUUUAGACCCUACCCUAGUAACUUCAUCUGAAUUGAUUACAUCUACAAAGACUAUUUUCAAGUAAGUCUUACUUGAUUAUCACAAUCCCAGGUGUGGGGGUUAGGAUUUCAACAUAUCUUUCUAAGGAGCUCAAUUUGAUUCAAAACACAGAAUUUUGUGAAAUUAAAAAUAAAACAAAUUUGAGGUUGCCCUUAUGCAGAUUUCACUCUUAAUUGCUUCCUGAUAAUCUUGAUUAGCAGAAAAGAAUGGAGUGGAGUCAUAUGGUGCUGACACCGGAAGUCAGAACUCUGAGUUUUGGGAGUGUCUUGAAUGUGAGUGUCACUAUUAUCAUAGAGGUCCCCCAAAAUGAAAGGUUUUCCUCGUGCUUAGGGGUGAAGCUGGGUGUUCAAGGGAGGGAAGAGAUGGUCAGGAAGUUGCACAGGUGAUCAGAGUCAGGAAUUGGGUUGUGCUAGGGCAACCUGAGAGUCUGUGUGUGUGCUUAAGAGUGAUUGUGUAUGUGCACAUGCAUGACUGUAUAAGCUUGUGUGUGUGUGUGUGUGUGUGUGUGUGUGUGUGUUGUGCUAGGGCAACCUGAGAGUCUGUGUGUGUGCUUAGAAGUGAUUGUGUAUGUGCACAUGCAUGACUGUAUAAGCUUGUGUGUGUGUGUGUGUGUGUGUGUGUGUGUGUUGUGCUAGGGCAACCUGAGAGUCUGUGUGUGUGCUUAGAAGUGAUUGUGUAUGUGCACAUGCAUGACUGUAUAAGCUCGUGUGUGUGUGUGUGUGUCUGUGUGUGUGUGACUGUGUAUAUAUGCAGUGAACUAGCAUGUGUGAAGUUUCUGAGAAGGAAAUAAUGAGAACAUUGAGUUGUUAACAGCAGCUAGGAGGUGGGUAGGGAGAAAAGACUAUCACAGGGCAAAGCAUCUAACUACACAAAGCUAGGAUGUGACUUUCUGGUGCAAGGGAACACAGAAGAUUCUACAAAAUUAGAAACCUACAAGUCUGUGCCAAGUCUAUAUCCGGUUGCCUUAUGCUUCCCUUCCUUCAUUAUUUAGCAUGAGUGGCUAUAGGCCAGAUCCAAUUGUAGUUUUUGCCUCUGACUUUUUUUUUUUAAAUGAGAAACAAACACUAGUAUUUUUUAUUUUGUCAUAUGUAGAAAACUAUAUCUCUUCUUCCCCUUUUCUUGAUUCUGCUCUAAUAUAAGAACCACCAAACAGAUUGAGAUCAAUCUUGCCAAGAAAGUUUUACUAUAAAGAUGAAAAUGCACAGAGGAAUGUUUUAGUCUGAAAAUGUAAGGUAGUUAGAUAUCUACCAAAAGUAGAAAUCAACAAUUUUAAUGUAGAAAUCAACACCAAUUUUAAUGCAUGGCCACAUUUUGUUGUAAUUAUUUUAUUUGCUAUUAGCAAUGAAUCUCAAGCUGCUGAGCAACCAAAAACCUAUUUGGGGACUCAGUACCAGUGAAUGAGCCGUUAUCUUUACCUAUUCCACUUAUCCUCACAUCCUUCUCCAAGUCCUUUGAUGUCACAUUCAAAGAGUUUGACUGUAAUGAAAUAACGCAAAAGAACAAGACAGAAUGAAAAGCUUUGAAGCUAUUUUUCCUGGAAAAAAAAUUGUGACGAUUCCCAAGAACAUGGUACACCAAAGGGAGAUGAAUUCCCUGCAGUCUUGCUGUAAAAUAAAUAUGAAUCAGAAUAUGAUGCCCUGCACGUGGAAGACACUAAAUAAGAAGUUGUUAAUGGUGAUGGUGGUGGGAACAACAUCUUCAGAUCUGGAAUAUCUUGAAUUUAAAAGAAUAUUUGUAUAGUAGAUUUGAAUUUCCAAAGGUGGCCACAAUUAUAGGGCCAUCACAAAAAUAUCUCUUUCCACAUAAUGUUCUUACAAUGUGACAUUGACUCACCUUUAUUGAGAGGUUGGGUCUAUGUUUCCUUCCUCUCAUCCUAAGCAGAACUUUGUAGCUAUCUUGGCCAAUGGAGGAUGGCAGAAGUGAUACUGCGUGACUGCCAAAGCUAGGUCAUAGAGCGCAGUAUGGCUACCAUGUGGUUCUGCCUCCCUCCUUUUCUCCUCUCUCUCUAUUUUUCUCCUUAUCUCUCUCCCCUUUUCUCUCUCUUCUCUUUCUCUCUCUCAAUGCUUGUCCCUGGAGCCCAACCACCAUGAUCUGAGGAAGGCUAGGCCACAAGGAGAGGCCAUGGGUGGGUGUUGCAGCUGGCAGUGCUAGUGAGGCCCCCAAAUGACAGCAAGCAUCAGUGGUCACACAUGUGAUUAAAUGAGAGUUCAGAUGAUUCCAGCCUCAACCUGCAAGUCUUCCAGUUGAGGACUCAGGCCCAGUGCCCUGUCUGGAUUUCUUAUCAGCAGGAACUUCUAUCGUUUAAGCCCAUAACUUUUAGGACUGUGCAGCAGUGGCUUACCUCCUGGGAGGAUUUAGGGAUGCAUCAGAUUCUCCCAUUCAGGGAAGCGAGAGCUUCUGCUUCUUGCAGAGUUAUCUUGCUGAAAUGAUGCAAGAGGUCUCUGUCCUGGUGCUCCUUCUUGACCCAGGUCUCAUCAUUGCCGGGCUCAGCCACUGUCUUCAAACUGAUGCAUCUCAGUUAUGGUUAGACUUCCACAGUCUUACCAAAAUCAUUUUUGUAGGUCACAUAGUUUACUUAUUUUGAAUUUUUGAUCAUCAUGUUGAAUAAAUAAGUGGUUCCCAACAUUUAAUGUGAAUACAAAUCACCUGGGGUCUUGUUAAACUGUAAAUUCUGCUUUCAUAGCUUUGAAGUCGGGCCUGAGAUCCUGCUUCUCUAAUUCUUAGGUGAUGCUGAAGCUACAAGUCUGUGAACCACACUUGGACCAUCAUAGGUAUAGAGGAUUGUAUGGACAAAGCAAAAUUUUAUGUAACUCAUCCCCAAGGAAGGAAACCAGGGAUAGCACUUAAUGUCAUUGAGCAUCUACAGCAUGCUAAGAACCUUCCUUAAGUAUUUUAUAUAUAUCACUGUAGUCCUCAGAAUACUCCUCCAAAAUAAAUACAAUUUAUUUUCCUCACUUUAUAAAGAAGCGAAGGUUCAUACAGUUUAUGUAAGUGGAACAGCCAGGACUUAAACCCAGAACUCACUACAAAAUUGUGUCUUUGCCACUGUGCAUUCAUCUUUCAUGAUUUCAAAGCCUGGGAUUGGUUCUUCUAGUUAUCAUUUCUCUUUGAAUAAAGAGGUGCCUCUGUAGCAGUGCUGCCCAAUAAACUUUAUGCAGCAAUAGAAAUGUUCUCUGUCUGUCCUGUCCAGUAUGAUAGGGACACGUGGCUCCUGAGAAUUGAGGUAUGGCUAGCACGACUGCAGAACUAAAUUUUAUGUUUAAUUUUAAUAAAAAAUGUAAAUAGCCAUCUAUGGCUAGUGGCUGUGGCAAGUGGCUAAUUGCUGAUGGCUACCGUACAGGACAGCAUAGCUCCAUAGAAAGGAUCUCAAAGGACAUUGGGACAUGGGACAGUAGGUUUGAAAGGUGCCUUGAUUUUCACUGUGGAAUGUGUGCCAUGGCCCUCGCACACAUUCAGCAUCUUAUUCUUUUCUUUUUUUGAGAGGGACCCGAGCUCUGUAGCCAGGCUGGAGUACAAUGGCACACGAUCUCGGGUCAGUGCAACCUCCACCUCCCAGGUUCAAGUGAUUCUCCUGCCUCAGCCUCCUGAGUAGCUGGGAUUACAGAUGCACACCACCACGCCCAGUAAGAUCGCUACAGAAGUUUUGGAAAUAUGUCCAGACAUGGAGGUGCUGCAGAGGAAGGAGGGAGAAUAUGCCUUUCUGCAGAUCUUUCUUGGAAGAGAGGUAAGUUUCUCCAAAAGUACUCAGAUGAUUUCCCCUCAGGUGUCUCUGGCUGGAAUUAGGUCACGUAACCAUUGUUGAACAAAAAGACAAGGAAAAUAAGACUUUUCUUAUACUCAGUCACUCCGGGGGCUGGCAGUAAGGUCAUCUUUUUCCAGGUCCAUGAGCUGUGUUAAAUGGUGGGAGAAUACCUGAAUAAAACUGGGGUUCUGUCAGAAGGAAAGGAAGGAGGAGGUAACCAGUGUGUACCUCAGGACCAAACCUCAAAGGGAGUUUGGGAUGAGGUAACUGUGAAGCAUUUGGUUUGGUAAACGCAGCCUGGAGGUUAUCAGGGCCAGUGGCCUCCUUCUAGCGGCAUGGCCGUGGGUGGCUCUGAGUCUCUAGGGAAGUCCCACAUUGAGCUCAGUGCCACACCCAGUGCAUUUUGGGACUGAGAGCACUGGUGGGCUGAUGCUGAUGAGCCUGCUGUGGCAUCCCCAAUUCCUCAUGGCCUUGGCAGGGCACACAGACAUGCAGAGGUUCCCACAUGCCCUGGCAAGAGGUCAAAGGAGCUGCACAGUCCAGCAGACCAGCACAGAGUUUGGAGUAAAAUGUUGUGAGUCUGCCUUUCUCUGGGAGUAUUUCCAGCUCCUUUGUGUCUUUGCUACAGCCUGGAGCUGAGCUUUGCUCAUCCCCAUGAAGACUCCAUUGUGUCAGGGCACUGCUUGUGCCCAUACCUGAGUCGCUUUUUGCUGCAUUUGAGGAACACCCAUCUGGCAUGCCCAGUACCUUCAGGGCUUCACCCCAGCCCUCUGUACAGAAUCAAAGUCCUGGGUACAAUUUGGCUUUAGUAGCUCUUCCUCCACUUCUAUAAAAACAUCUAAUGAAGCCAUGGCCAACAUCCCCCAGCACCAAAUCUCUUUACUGUUAAUAGAUCAUUCUGAGUAGCAUCCUCUUAUUUUGCCUUUCUUUAAAUAGACUCAAGCUAUUUCUGCACGCUCAGAGUGAGGUGUCCGAAGUAGCUGAUACUGCACCUGUGCCACCUCACUUCUUCUGUCUCCUGGUGAUAGUCACAACUUUCCUAGUGAAACAAGAAAGCACCCAGCCGUGACCCCAUCUCCUGUAUUCAGGCAGGAACCACUUACCCUGGCUUCGAAGUCCCUCCUGCCAUGCACAUUGGAAAUCCCCAGGGCUGAGCCUCCGCCGCAGCCUUUCCUGAAUUGUUGUGUAGCUUCCUCAGACUUCCUGCCUGCCCCCUGUCCUUUCUCCUCAAAGCCUUGUUUCUACAGUCACUUUCCCAUCAUUAUUCACGUCAUGCCCCACAUUCCUCCUGAGUUUCCUGAAUUCAGUGGGAAGGCAUGUGAUCUCAUCUUCACCUUCUGUGACCCUCAACCCUACUCAUCUCUGCCUAUCAGAUCCCCCUCCCAUUGACAGAUUCCGUUCCUAAGAAUGUUGUCUCACCACUCCCUUGAGUGUCCUUCUCCCCUUCCUUGGUGCCACAUUCCCUGUAACACAAUAGACCAAUCUGUUUAUUAGAAAAGUUUUAACUCAGCCCUGAUGGAUGACCCAGGUCAAAGUUUCCAAAGUCCAGUCUACCCACUAGAGUCUGAUCUGUAUCAGAACUACCUGGGGAGUUUUUGAAAAAGGCACAGGUGCGGUGGCUCACGCAUGUAAUCCCAGAAGUUUGGGAGGCGGAGGAGUGCGGGUCACUUGAGGUCAGGAGUUUGUGACCAGCUUGGCCAACAUGGCGAAACCCUGUCUCUACUAAAAAUACACAAAUUAGCCAGGCAUGGUGGUGCAUACCUGUAAUCCCAGUUACUCGGGAGGCAGGAGAAUCGGUUAAACCUGUGGCGGAGGUUGCAGUGAGCUGAGAUCAUGCCACUGCACUACAGCCUGGGUGACAGAACAAGACUCCAUCUCCAAAAAAAAAAAAAAAGAAAAAGCAGACUCGUAGACCCACGUCCUGACUAUUGAACUAAAGCCUAGGGGAAAGAGGUGGGGAGAGAGUCUGUGUUUGUUUUAGUAUACUCCCCGGGCGAUCCAGCUGAUCCAGGAGUGGGAAACGCUGGCUGGGUGCCUCUUGAGUUCUCAUGUAGCCACUGGUUCCAUAUGACUGUCUAAAUUCCCAUGUCAAAAGCAUUCUUGUCAUGGGGGUUAAGUUGGGAACUGAAGCCUCCUUCCAGCUCUGGACUAACACAGUUCCCUGGGGAAACAGUGUGGGAGAGGAGAUUCACCUGCAAGCCAGGCCACGGGUCCAUAUACUCUGCACUGCCAUUUGGUGGGGUCAGUAAUAAGGUGCUGCAGACAUUUGUGUUUGUUUAUCUGAGAGCUAGGUGUUUAUGGAUUUGGGUUAAUGAUAAUGCCUAGAAUGGUGUCAUGGGUUAGACAAUUGAGGAAGCAUUAACUUAAUUAUCAUCAACAAACAACCAUUGAGUGUACCUUGUAUGGGACGCUGGGGCUUAGUAAUAGAGAUUCAAAAAUAAUUAAACACCUUCACCUGGAGUCACUUACAAGGUAGCUGGGAAAGAUCACACAGGCUUCUAAAAAUGUGCUGAUAUAAUUAUUUUCUAAGAAAAAUUGGAAUUUAAUUGUUUUAGGCUUAUUUUUCUUUUAACUCAUUCACUCCAGAGUUUCUAAGGGGCUGUGAUAUACCAGGUAUAUCACAAGGGGAGGGAGAGUGGUAAGAAUACAGAAGUGAGAAGACAUGGGCCCUGUAACAGAGAGAGGUACAUUACGCACAAUAUGAUCAGGGCCACACAGAGAAACCUACUAAUUCCUGUGGGAGCACAGAGAAGGGAGCUCUUUCACUCUGAGGUUCAGGAAACUAGUUACUUGCAUCUGCCCAAGAAUAAACUAUAAUACAUACUAGCAACUGCACUGUAAUAUGUACUAAAUAAUAUGUAAACUAUAAUUGGUACUAGUGACUGGACUAGGCACUUUGAACAUGUUACCUCAUUUAAUAAAAUCUAAUUUCUCUUUCCCAGACCCUUGUUAGGUAUGCAUUAUUACCAUAGGUUACAUGUUACAUAGAUUCUCCCUUGAUGGUAGGGGAUGCUUGAUGUUGAGAGGAGACAAAAUACCGUCCCUGCAACUCCCAAGCAACUAUUUGCAUACACUGAUUUGCAGAGGAGGCCCCGUAGUGCUCAGUUGGAAGAAGGACUUAAACUCAGUUGGGAACAACGAACUCUCAGGUGGGAACAGUUGGAGAGCUCUCAGGAGGAAACGUGCCAAAAGCGGAACAGGUUUCUGGCCCACUGAGUUGACUCAGUUAAAGGUUGACCAAGGUUAAAGGCUUAGAGAGUACGUGGGGUUUCCGCAUACAGGUGUACUCUGUAUUUAUAAUCAAGCACAAUCUGGAGAAGAAAAGCUGCAGAACUCUGAAGUUCAGUAAGCAUUGUUUGGAGGCAAUCCUUCAUAGACCAAAAGAUGAGAGCUUUCUAUUUUGUUUCAAAAAGAACUGUUAAGAAACAGUGAAGAUAUUGCCCAAAGGCCUGAGCAUGGAGGAACCAGAUGGCGGCAAGGAUGGCGGUGGAUUUUUCUCCUGACUGGCAGGCAGUUGCUCUAACUGGCAGUGAAAGUCAGUUACCUUCAGGUGACUGAGAUGAUGGUAGCAGUAACAAAAAGGGCAAGCUUCCAGCCUCCGGGUGAACUCUGUGGACCAGCUGGGUCUGGACUUAGAGUCUGUUCAGCAACCUCCCUUAAAAGUUCCCACAAUACUCGCAGAGGGAGCAUCUGUUAGAAACGACGACGACAUACUAAACAGCCCCUAAACUGAUUCGGGAAGGGACAGGGUGAAGGCGUGUAUCAUCUCAAUGAUCCUUGCAAUAACUCUGUGAGUUAUGUGCCAUUAUAAUCAUCCUCAAGUCAGGGAUUUAUGUUAAGUGCCUAGAUUUUUACUCCCAGCAUCAUGGAGCUUGAGCUCUUUGGACUCCAUACAGAUGAGAAAACUGAAAGUUAUUGCUCAGGUCACAGAACCAGGAAAGAGCAGAGGCAGGAUUCAAACUCAGAUUCUUCUGUCUACAAAUGUAUUCCUCUUGUGAGAUGAUAUUUGAAUUGAGACUUUAUAAUUGGAUAAGGGGUUAAAGGCAGAUCAUUCCAGAGACAGUUGCAACUAAGCUUGCAAAGAUGAAAAGAGCAGGGCUAGGCCAUGCAGUUUAUAAUUCAGUAAGGCUGAUGAUGGACCACAUAGAGGGAGUCUCAACAGGUAAGCCUGGUAAGGCAGCUUAGUGGUAGCCCUGUGUGCUCUGCUAAGGCAGAGCUUCUAGUCCUUUCUUAACCUACUCUCCCAUCUUUUGACAAACACACAAAUCUGCUUUCCUCCUUUACAGUUAUUUAAAAUAACAAAUACAGUGAAUAUUUUGACAAAGAAAAAUCACAGAAUGAAAAAUUUUUAAUGUGGAUUUUCAAAUUACUAUAUUCUUGAGUCCACUGAGUAUUUUCUAUCUCACCUCCCUGGAGGUAGAGCUGUGCAUCAGUCAAGGAGAUGCAGAAGAGGCCAUCUAUGGAGGCAAUGAGGAAGGUGAAGGAACUGAGUCAAGAGCCCUUUUAAAGGAAGAGCUCAUGAGGGCUCUCAUGAGAGAGAACUAUUAGAUUUUCAAGCUACCUUGAUUUUGAGGACUUCUGCUUUUUGAAUCAGGAAGGUGCGAUAUUCCAACCCUAUGUGCACGGAGAGUUCAUUUCUAAGUUCAGGAAUCGAUCAAAUAAGUGAAUUCAAUCUAAGUUCAAUCAAAGAAGCAAAAUUUUGUCCCAAGAAAUACAUUGCCAUUCACAAUAUCCAUAGAUGUUUUGUGUCAAAAUGAGGGAAUCUGACUUUAAUGAUUUUUCCUGCAAAGCAAAAGGACUCUUUCCUAGAUGCAUAUUGAUUUCUAUAAUAAUUGCUGAUAAUUGUUAAACUUUUAUUGUAUGCUAGACACUGUACAAAGUACUUUGGGUGUAUCAUCUCAAUAAUCCUUGCAAUAAUUCCAUGAAUUAUGUGCCAUUAUUAUCAUCCUCAUUUAGAGAUAAAGGAACAGAGGCUCAGAAAGAAGUGACCUGCAUAAGGUCACACAGCUGAUAAGUUGUAGAACUCAGGCCUGUCUAAUAUCAGUCACUCUGAAUGUCUGAGAACCACUCAAAAGAGAAUUCAGGGACCUAUAGAGUGAGCUGGGAUGUGGUCGUAUCCUCAUCUGUAUCUCAGGCAGGAGAUCCAGGCAGCAUCAAAGAGUAAAUACUCCUUGGGGUUAGGGUGCAUCAUUUCUGCAAGGAGACUCAGCCUCUGCUGAAGGUGGCCUCUUCAGUUCUUUAACUUAGAAUAGACAAAGCAUUCAGUUCCCAUUUUCAAAGCUUCCCCUGAAUACUGUUCAACUGAGGUCCAGAUGGUAUACAGAAUAGGUCUAGGUGCUUGCUGGCCAAAAAGCUAAUUUCUGAAUUGUAUGGCUUGUCCCCAAGCUUGAUAGUAGAGAUGCUGGGAAGGCCAGGACAAUCCCAGAAACAGAGUCUCAAAGGAAACCAAGAAACUUGUCCACUGAGACCUCUGUCUCGGUGUCCCUAGCCAUUAAAUGACUUUUAUGAAACAGAAAAUUAAUAAGGGUAUCCAGGACUUGAACUCAGAUGCGGAACAAGUAAACUCAAUAAAUAUUUAUAGAACUCUCCAUUUUAAAUACACAAAAUAUACAUUCUCCACCUUAAAUACACAAAAUAUUGAUCGGCCAUUAUUAAUACCCAUUUUUAGAAUAAAGCUACAUUCCCGUUUUCUCUCCCUCUUUUUCUUCCUCUUUCUUCCUCUCCUUCACUCCUUUUUUUCUUUCUUUCU